GUAGUCGUGGCCAAGUGAUUAAGGUGAUGGACUUGAAAUCCAUUGGGAUGUCCCUGCGCAGGUUUGAAUCCUGCUGACUACG